rnacentral:misc_RNA from 1 species
UCUCCGUUGGUGAACCAGCGGAGGGAUCAUUACCGAGUUAUCAACUCCCAAACCCCUGUGAACAUACCCUACGUUGCUUCGGCGGGACCGCCCCGGCGCCCUCGGCGUCCCGGAACCAGGCGCCCGCCGGAGGACCCAAACUCUUGUUUAAACCAUAGUGGCAUAUUCUGAGUCUCACAAGAAAAAUGAAUCAAAACUUUCAACAACGGAUCUCUUGGCUCUG